GGCUGUCAAGCAAUGGGAGGAGUCGUGAGAACCUGGAUAACGGCGGGCUGAGCCACCGGCUUGGCGCGGCGGCCAAACUGGUGGGACAGUGUCUCCAGGUGGUGAGGCCCAACCUUUUUAAAACAAACAAACAAAAACCAAAAUGCAAACGUGAGUAGGGAAUGAAAUACACAGUUUAAAUGCCCUCACUAUCUUUGGGUUACUAAUAUACUAAGCCUUUCUGGACUAAGUAAAGGAUGCAGGUUCCUGCGGCUAGGGGUAGAAGCCAGACUGGCGUCUUCAGAAUCUCCCACCAAGGCUCCUCUGGAGGAGUUCUGGGUUUGGAUUUGGUCAUCUCAAGAAGAGUCUUCAGAUGGAUUUUAAAAUUGAACACACUUGGGAUGGUUUUCCAGUGAAGCACGAGCCAGUAUUUAUCAGGCUGAAUCCAGGUGACAGAGGAGUGAUGAUGGACAUUAGUGCUCCAUUUUUCAACGAUCCUCCAGCCCCACUUGGAGAACCAGGAAAACCUUUCAAUGAACUGUGGGAUUGUGAAGUUGUGGAAGCAUUUUUCUUGAAUGAUAUAACUGAGCAGUAUUUAGAAGUUGAACUUUGUCCCCACGGACAGCAUUUAGUGCUUUUACUUUCUGGAAGAAGAAAUGUGUGGAAACAAGAACUUCCUUUAUCAUUCAGAGUGUCCAGAGGUGAGACAAAAUGGGAAGGCAAAGCUUAUCUCCCUUGGAGUUAUUUUCCACCAAAUGUGACAAAAUUCAAUUCAUUUGCAAUUCAUGGAUCAGAAGAUCAACGAAGUUAUGAAGCUCUUUACCCUGUACCUCAGCAUGAACUGCAACAAGGACAAAAACCUGAUUUGUAAGUAGAAAAUAAAUGAAGAUAUGUUCCAAAUAUACGAGUUUUUUCGAAAUUAAUUCUUAAUGGAGCCAAAGUAACACUUUUGAUCAAAGAAGGCGAUAUAUGUGCACAAGUACCUAGUAGAGUCCAAUGUUCACUGAUGGUCCUCAGAAAAUACUUGGUAAACUUUGGACUGACAUAAUCUCUCUCACUACUGUCAGUAGAGCACUUAUUUUUCCAUAGUGGUAUGAGAAAAGUGUUGUUUGCAUGUGAGAAAAGUAAAUGUUGCAACAGCUGAUAUAGAAGUAUGGUCGCAAAUUCAUUUAAAAUUUCUUUCAGAGCUAAAGGGCCAGAGGCAUCAGUGUUUCCUGGUAUGAACAAACGGUCCCCUGUUACAAGGAAAUCUAAUCUUCAGUUAUCUCUGUAGUUCUCCUCUUCUGGUAACCUCAUAAGGAUAAAAAUAUCAACUAUGUUUCUAGGCAACAUUGCUUGUGAUAAAAAUGACCCUUAAGUGGUAAAUUACAUCUGGACUGAGAAUAAUUUUGGAUGAAUUAUAAAUAUAUGAUGGAGACAGCGUGGCUUUGGGAUUCCCCUGUAACAGUCAUCUUCCCUGUGGGAACCCUGGAAACUAUGGCUUUGGAGUUAUUCCAAGAGAUACUGCUCUCAUGGGGCGGCAGGCAUUUGAGCCAAGCCAUCGCCUAGAAUACUUCAAGCCUUUCAAUUUUAACACACUGCUUGGAAAAGAAUGGAAACAACCGGAAUCAGACCUGUGGCUAAUAGAGAAAUGUGAUAUACAGGAGUAAUAGAUAACCAUACCAAUCAUUUUUUCUCUAUACCUUUUAAGAUAAACAAAAAAUAAAUGUCAAUUUUUUUAAGAUGUCAUACAUACAUUUCAACAACAAAUAUUUUCAUAGAAGUCACUGAAAAUAUAGUAUCUGUGGCAAAUUGUAUAUGAUUAACAAGAAAAUAUAUGAUUCUUUGUAGAUUAUUUCAUCUGUAAAGUCACAGUGUUUCUCAGAGUCACUUAGUCCAGGAUGUUACAUUCCCAGCACACAGUACAGUUAUUCUUGAGAAGUACAAGUGAGAAAGAGGGGACAGUUGAGUUUGUCCAAGGACACCUAGAGCACUGUCCUGCACUAUCUUAUGAUUCAGCCAUUUCAUUCCUAGAUAUAUACCUCAGAAAAAUGACUGCUCAUAGCAGCUUUAUUCAUAAUAGCACAAAAUUGUAAAGUCAAAUUUCCAUCCAUAGGAAAAUGGAUAGACAAACUGCAAUAUAGUCAGUGGAAUACUCUUCAUUUAAAAAAGGACUGCUGAUAUAUGCAACAACCUGUAUGAAUCUCAAAAACAUUAAGUUGAGCAAAACAAGCCAGACAUAACAUACUAUCUAAUUUCUUUUAUAUUAAAGCCACUUCCAGGCAAAACUAGCAUUUGAUGAUAGAUACCAGAACAGUGGCUGCUUAGAGUGAGGGCGGGGAAUUCAAAUUGAAUGGAAAAGGGGCCUGAGGAAAUUUUCUGGGGUGAUUGAAAUGUUUUGUAUUUUGAUCUGGAUGAUGGUUAUGUAGCUGCAUACAUUUGUCAACAUUCCUCAUGUUUAGAUUUGUGAUUUUAGUAUAUGUAAAUUAAUUCCUUAAUAAAAUACUAUUAUAAAAUAAGCUGUAAAUUAAAUGGAAUUAACUUCAAGUUUA